rnacentral:lncRNA from 1 species
ACACCGAGACGUGCUCUUUGUCCACCUGGCUUGCUUCUCACACCUGCUAUGCUUGUUUCUGCCUCAGACCCACGGAAUUGGCGUAUGGAACACACACAGCUCUCCUUUUCAGAGAAAAGAAACUAAUGCAUUUUUCUCCAACAGGACGGAAAGACGGCAGAAGAUCUUGCUAGAUCGGAACAGCACGAGCACGUAGCAGGUCUCCUUGCAAGACUUCGAAAGGAUACGCACCGAGGACUCUUCAUCCAGCAGCUCCGACCCACACAGAACCUGCAGCCAAGAAUUAAGCUCAAGCUGUUUGGCCACUCGGGAUCCGGGAAAACCACCCUUGUAGAAUCUCU